GUAGCAAUACUGGGCGGCGACCGGCAAACGGUGUUCCCAACACGUACACAACCUUCCUUUUAGUGGGGAAUAGCCCAGAGAAAUUUGGAUUAAUACCCCGUAACAUAGCGAUGUGGCAUCACAUUGCUAUUAUAGCUUCGGCGCUAGAUGAUGGGUGUGCGUAUGAUUAGAUAGUUGGCGAGGUAACGGCUCACCAAGUCUACGAUCAUUAGCUGAUGUGAGAGCAUGAUCAGCCACACGGGCACUGAGACACGGGCCCGACUCCUACGGGAGGCAGCAGU
rnacentral:rRNA from 1 species